rnacentral:rRNA from 1 species
UACGGAGGGAGCUAGCGUUGUUCGGAAUUACUGGGCGUAAAGCGCACGUAGGCGGCUUUGUAAGUUAGAGGUGAAAGCCCGGGGCUCAACCCCGGAAUUGCCUUUAAGACUGCAUCGCUUGAAUCCAGGAGAGGUGAGUGGAAUUCCGAGUGUAGAGGUGAAAUUCGUAGAUAUUCGGAAGAACACCAGUGGCGAAGGCGGCUCACUGGACUGGUAUUGACGCUGAGGUG